CUGGCGGCGUGCUUAACACAUGCAAGUCGAACGAUGAAACCUAGCUUGCUGCGUGGAUUAGUGGCGCACGGGUGAGUAAUAUAUAGGUAAUGUGCCUCUUAGUCUGGGAUAGCCAUUGGAAACGAUGAUUAAUACUGGAUACUCCUUCUAACUCUAAUGUUAGUCGGGAAAGUUUUUCGCUAAGAGAUCAGCCUAUAUCCCAUCAGUUAGUUGGUAAGGUAACGGCUUACCAAGGCAAUGACGGGUAGCGGGUUUGAGAGGAUGAUCCGCCACACUGGUACUGAGACACGGACCAGACUCCUACGGGAGGCAGCAGUGAGGAAUAUUGCACAAUGGGGGAAACCCUGAUGCAGCAACGCCGCGUGGAGGAUGACGCAUUUCGGUGUGUAAACUCCUUUUAUAUGUCAAGAAAAUGACGGUAGCAUAUGAAUAAGCACCGGCUAACUCCGUGCCAGCAGCCGCGGUAAUACGGAGGGUGCAAGCGUUACUCGGAAUCACUGGGCGUAAAGGACGCGUAGGCGGAUUGGAAAGUCAGAUGUGAAAUCCUACAGCUUAACUGUAGAACUGCAUUUGAAACUUCUAAUCUAGAGUAUGGGAGGGGGAGAUGGAAUUAGUGGUGUAGGGGUAAAAUCCGUAGAUAUCACUAGGAAUACCGAAAGCGAAGGCGAUCUCCUGGAACAUUACUGACGCUAAGGCGUGAAAGCGUGGGGAGCAAACAGGAUUAGAUACCCUGGUAGUCCACGCCCUAAACGAUGAACACUAGUCGUCGGGAUGCUUGUCAUCUCGGUGAUGCACUUAACAGAUUAAGUGUUCCGCCUGGGGAGUAC
rnacentral:rRNA from 1 species